rnacentral:rRNA from 1 species
UACGUAGGGCGCAAGCGUUAUCCGGAAUUAUUGGGCGUAAAGAGCUCGUAGGCGGUUUGUCGCGUCUGCCGUGAAAGUCCGGGGCUCAACUCCGGAUCUGCGGUGGGUACGGGCAGACUAGAGUGAUGUAGGGGAGACUGGAAUUCCUGGUGUAGCGGUGAAGUGCGCAGAGUAUCAGGAGGAACACCGAUGGCGAAGGCAGGUCUCUGGGCAUUAACUGACGCUGAGGAGCGAAAGCAUGGGGAGCGAACAGG